GGCGGGGUAGCUCAGUUGGUAGAGCAUACGGUUCAUACCCGUAGUGUCGACAGUUCGAUCCUGUCCCCCGCUA
rnacentral:tRNA from 1 species